rnacentral:lncRNA from 1 species
GUAAAAAUCACAUCAGAUAGAUUUUUUUUUUUUUUCCCUUCUAAUCUUUUUAGAAAGUGUUUGCUGAAGACAUGAGAGCUGACCUGGAGAGACCUCAAUGGCACUUUCUGACUUUUGAAACUGUCCCAGUACAGAACUGGCCUGGUGUGAGGUGGAGCACAGAUCACAGAAUUUUGCUUGCCAUAUCAGGACCCAAAUCCAUCAAAAGCACAGGAAGCCUUGCUCCAGUGCACUCUGGCCAAAGAACCUGGUUGUUUCUUCAAGAAGGUUUUAAAGAAAACAUCAAUUACACCAAGAGCUAUGGCUGUCAUCUUAUUUCUUCCUGCACAUCCUCAGGAUUUGUGUCCAUGGUGGUUUUUGGAGCUCAGAUGUGGGUGCCUGGUUGUCUGCAGUGGAGGUGCUGUGCAGGGAGGAGCUGAGGAGCUCUCUGGGAGCAGCUUUAGGCUCCCAUGCCACGCUGUGUUGCCAUUCAUUUCUGCACUGCCAAUUUCCCUAAUCAUGGCCCAUUUGAGAGAGCAGCUCCCUGGGUAUAUCUGGCAUUUCUUCAUUGAAAACCAGGCAGUUUUUAAUUCUGUUCAUUGCUCAGUUCUGAUGAAGCUGCAGCUGCUCACCCUUCCUUGUACUGCUGAGUGCUGCUCAGCCUGGACCGGUGCUGAGGGGUGCAGGGAUCUGCUGAGGGGUGCAGGGAUCUGCUGAGGGUGCAGGGAUCUGCUGAGGGGUGCUGUGAUCUGCUGAGGGGUGCAGGGAUCCCCUGAGGGGUGCAGGGAUCUGCUGAGGGGUGCAGGGAUCUGCUGAGGGGUGCUGUGAUCUGCUGAGGGGUGCAGGGAUCUGCUGAGGGUGCAGGGAUCUGCUGAGGGUGCAGGGCCCUGCUGAGGGGUGCAGGGAUCUACUGAGGGGUGCAGGGGAUCUGCUGAGGGGUGCAGGGACCUGCUGAGGGGUGCAGGGAUCUGCUGAGGGGUGCAGGGAUCUGCUGAGGGGUGCAGGGCCCUGCUGAGGGGUGCAGGGAUCUGCUGAGGGUGCAGGGAUCUGCUGAGGGGUGCUGUGAUCUGCUGAAGGGUGCUGUGAUCUACUGAGGGGUGCAGGGCCCUGGUGAGGGGUGCAGGGAUCUGCUGAGGGGUGCAGGGGACCUGGCUUCAUUUCACUCUCAAAGCCUGAGCUGCUGCUCCCUGGUGACAGAAACACAGCCAGGAUUUGAUUUGCUUUCUCUAUUUUCCGUCUCCAGCUGCCUGAUUUGGCUCAGCUGCACCCGGCCAAGGGCCAGAUUCUGAGACAAGAGGUGAUGUCCUGCUACUCUUGUGGACUCUGCCUCAUCCAGAGCCUGCUUCCCUCCCCUGUAAAGCUGGGAAGAGUUUUUUGCUGCUGCUCUAAACUAUGCUGAACUCCCCCUGGCUUUCAGAGGCUGGUAUUUUUCUCAAAUGGAGUGAUGCAACCAGUAUAUAGAAAACUGCCUGGACUUUUUAACUUGAGCAAUGAAAUAAAACUUUUAAUCCUCUGUGUGUAUGGAGAAUU